rnacentral:tRNA from 1 species
UGAAUAUAGUUUAAUAAAAAUUCUAGCCUGUGAUUCUAGAGACGAGGACUAAUCAGCCUCUAUUCACC